rnacentral:rRNA from 1 species
AGGCUUAACACAUGCAAGUCGAGGGGCAGCAUUUUAGUUUGCUUGCAAACUGAAGAUGGCGACCGGCGCACGGGUGAGUAACACGUAUCCAACCUGCCGAUAACUCCGGGAUAGCCUUUCGAAAGAAAGAUUAAUACCGGAUAGCAUACGAAUAUCGCAUGAUAUUUUUAUUAAAGAAUUUCGGUUAUCGAUGGGGAUGCGUUCCAUUAGUUUGUUGGCGGGGUAACGGCCCACCAAGACUACGAUGGAUAGGGGUUCUGAGAGGAAGGUCCCCCACAUUGGAACUGAGACACGGUCCAAACUCCUACGGGAGGCAGCAGUGAGGAAUAUUGGUCAAUGGGCGCGAGCCUGAACCAGCCAAGUAGCGUGAAGGAUGAAGGCUCUAUGGGUCGUAAACUUCUUUUAUAUGGGAAUAAAGUUUUCCACGUGUGGAAUUUUGUAUGUACCAUAUGAAUAAGGAUCGGCUAACUCCGUGCCAGCAGCCGCGGUAAUACGGAGGAUCCGAGCGUUAUCCGGAUUUAUUGGGUUUAAAGGGAGCGUAGGUGGAUUGUUAAGUCAGUUGUGAAAGUUUGCGGCUCAACCGUAAAAUUGCAGUUGAAACUGGCAGUCUUGAGUACAGUAGAGGUGGGCGGAAUUCGUGGUGUAGCGGUGAAAUGCUUAGAUAUCACGAAGAACUCCGAUUGCGAAGGCAGCUCACUAGACUGUCACUGA